UACGAAGGGGCUAGCGUUGCUCGGAAUCACUGGGCGUAAAGGGUGCGUAGGCGGGUCUUUAAGUCAGGGGUGAAAUCCUGGAGCUCAACUCCAGAACUGCCUUUGAUACUGAGAGGCUUGAGUCCGGGAGAGGUGAGUGGAACUGCGAAGUGUAGAGGUGAAAUUCGUAGAUAUUCGCAAGAACACCAGUGGCGAAGGCGACAUACUGGUCCGUUACUGACGCUGAGGCUCGAAAGCGUGGGGGAGCAAACAGG
rnacentral:rRNA from 1 species